UACGGAGGGGGCUAGCGUUGUUCGGAAUUACUGGGCGUAAAGCGCACGUAGGCGGCUUUGUAAGUUAGAGGUGAAAGCCCGGGGCUCAACUCCGGAAUUGCCUUUAAAACUGCAUCGCUAGAAUUGUGGAGAGGUAAGUGGAAUUCCGAGUGUAGAGGGGAAAUUCGUAGAUAUUCGGAAGAACACCAGUGGCGAAGGCGACUUACUGGACACAUAUUGACGCUGAGGUGCGAAAGCGUGGGGAGCAAACAGG
rnacentral:rRNA from 1 species